GAUGAACGCUGGCGGCGUGCCUAAUACAUGCAAGUCGAACGCUGGAAAUCUAGCUUGCUAGAUUGAAGGAGUGGCGAACGGGUGAGUAAUACAUAAGCAACCUACCCACGAAGACUGGGAUAAUCUCUGGAAACGGGGACUAAUACCGGAUAGGUAAUCGGAAGGCAUCUUCUGAUUAUUAAAGGUUAAAAACACUGGUGGAUGGGCUUAUGGCGCAUUAGUUAGUUGGUGAGGUAACGGCCCACCAAGACGAUGAUGCGUAGCCGGCCUGAGAGGGUGAACGGCCACAUUGGGACUGAGACACGGCCCAGAAUCCUACGGGAGGAAGCAGUAGGGAAGUUUCGGCAAUGGGGGAAACCCUGACCGAGCAACGCCGCGUGAGUGAUGACGGCAUUCGGGUUGUAAAGCUCUGUUGUAAGGGAAGAAAGGUAGAUAGAGAAUAUCUAAAUGACGGUACCUUACCAGAAAGCCACGGCUAACUACGUG
rnacentral:rRNA from 1 species